rnacentral:rRNA from 1 species
AUUGAACGCUGGCGGCAUGCCUUACACAUGCAAGUCGAACGGAUUCAAGGGGCUUGCUCCUUGAGUUAGUGGCGAACGGGUGAGUAAUGCAUCGGAACGUACCCAGUUGUGGGGGAUAACGUAGCGAAAGUUACGCUAAUACCGCAUACGACCUGAGGGUGAAAGCGGGGGAUCGCAAGACCUCGCGCAAUUGGAGCGGCCGAUGUCAGAUUAGCUAGUUGGUAGGGUAAAAGCCUACCAAGGCGACGAUCUGUAGCUGGUCUGAGAGGACGACCAGCCACACUGGGACUGAGACACGGCCCAGACUCCUACGGGAGGCAGCAGUGGGGGAUUUUGGACAAUGGGGGAAACCCUGAUCCAGCCAUGCCGCGUGAGUGAAGAAGGCCUUCGGGUUGUAAAGCUCUUUCGGACAGAGAGAAAUCUUUUGGGCUAAUACCCUGAGAGGAUGACGGUACUGUAAGAAGAAGCACCGGCUAACUACGUGCCAGCCGCCGCCGUAA